rnacentral:rRNA from 1 species
UGCAGUCGAGCGGAACGAUCCUAGCUUGCUAGGAGGCGUCGAGCGGCGGACGGGUGAGUAAUGCAUAGGAAUCUACCCAGUCGUGGGGGAUAACCUGAGGAAACUCAGGCUAAUACCGCAUACGUCCUACGGGAGAAAGCGGGGGCUCUUCGGACCUCGUGCGAUUGGAUGAGCCUAUGUCGGAUUAGCUAGUUGGUAAGGUAACGGCUUACCAAGGCGACGAUCCGUAGCUGGUCUGAGAGGAUGAUCAGCCACACCGGGACUGAGACACGGCCCGGACUCCUACGGGAGGCAGCAGUGGGGAAUAUUGGACAAUGGGCGAAAGCCUGAUCCAGCCAUGCCGCGUGUGUGAAGAAGGCUUUCGGGUUGUAAAGCACUUUCAGCGAGGAAGAAAGCGUGCCGUUUAAUACACGGUACGGACGACAUCACUCGCAGAAGAAGCACCGGCUAACUCCGUGCCAGCAGCCGCGGUAAUACGGAGGGUGCAAGCGUUAAUCGGAAUUACUGGGCGUAAAGCGCGCGUAGGCGGCGUGUCACGCCGGGUGUGAAAGCCCCGGGCUCAACCUGGGAACGGCAUCCGGAACGGGCAGGCUAGAGUGCAGGAGAGGAAGGUAGAAUUCCCGGUGUAGCGGUGAAAUGCGUAGAGAUCGGGAGGAAUACCAGUGGCGAAGGCGGCCUUCUGGACUGACACUGACGCUGAGGUGCGAAAGCGUGGGUAGCAAACAGGAUUAGAUACCCUGGUAGUCCACGCCGUAAACGAUGUCGACUAGCCGUUGGGUCC